GAGUUUGAUCAUGGCUCAGGAUGAACGUUGGCGGCGUGCCUAACACAUGCAAGUCGAACGGUGGUAGCAAUACUACAGUGGCGCACGGGUGAGUAACACGUAGCUUACCUCCCUCCAAAGCGCGGGAUAAACGUUCCGAAAGGAAUGCUAAUACCGCAUAAGCUCACGGUUUCUAGAGAACUGUGAGAAAAGGAGCAAUUCACUUGGAGACGGGGCUGCGGCCCAUCAGCUAGAUGGUGAGGUAACGGCUUACCAUGGCGACGACGGGUAGGGGACCUGAGAGGGUGACCCCCCACC
rnacentral:rRNA from 1 species